rnacentral:rRNA from 1 species
GGGCCCGCACAAGCAGCGGAGCAUGUGGUUUAAUUCGAAGCAACGCGAAGAACCUUACCAAGGCUUGACAUCCUACUAAACUCAUGGAAACAUGAGGUGACUUCGGUCGAGUAGAGACAGGUGGUGCAUGGUUGUCGUCAGCUCGUGUCGUGAGAUGUUGGGUUAAGUCCCGCAACGAGCGCAACCCUUGUUGCCAGUUACCAGCGAGUAAAGUCGGGGACUCUGGUGAGACUGCCGGGGACAACUCGGAGGAAGGUGGGGACGACGUCAAAUCAUCAUGCCCCUUAUGUCUUGGGCUACACACGUGCUACAAUGGCUGUAACAAAGGGAAGCGACAGCGUAAGCUGAAGCGGAUCUCAGAAAAGCAGUCCCAGUUCGGAUUGUGGGCUGCAACCCGCCCACAUGAAGUCGGAGUUGCUAGUAAUCGCGGAUCAGCAUGCCGCGGUGAAUACGUUCCCGGGCCUU